CCCCCCCGGUUCUCUCUCUCUCUUGCUCGAAACCCUCCCCUUGCCCGCAGACCAGUCGACCCGACCCGGCCCCAGCGGCGCCGUCGCUGCUCCUCCGGCCACUACCCGGCCCUCAUUGGACUCGCAGUGCUCCGUCCAGCCGCCCUGUUCCAUCGCCUUGCUCCACCGCUGCCCCGAACGCUGGAUCGUAGGAGGUCCAGUUCCGUCCGAUCGGACCCGGCCGGAAAACGACUUUUCCGGCGAUACACGGGCCGAUUGUUCCCAUUUUCGUGAUCUGUUCCUCAUGCUGAUCAUCCCUAUGUGAUUGACGGUCUUCCUUGGUGAGCGGUUUUGGCGUGUUUUGUGAAAUUGAAGACGCAGCGGGAUUAGAGCGGGAAAUCUUGCAGGUUAGGAGAAUCAGGGCGGUGAUCGUGCGGGUUAGAGUAAUUGUUGUAGUUAUACGGUGAUUGUAAUAGUGAGGUGAGUGAUGCUCAAAUUGAGCUUUACAUAUUUACUUUGUAUAAGUGAGUUGUAAUAUUUAAUUUGAGGUUUGAAAUUUGAGUGACUUGUGUUCUAGUUGAUUUUUCAUGUCUCGGAUUUUGAAUUAGUUAUUCAAAAUUUGAGUGACCGGCCCGUUUUUCGGGUUUUCGGUUCCAGUCAAUCUUUGCAGCACUGCUGCAUUUUGCUGCUUGACCUGCUUCUGUUUAAAGAGUAUAAAGAGUAAUGGUGAAAAUAAAACCAAUAAACCAUUCUGCAAAGUGCAAUCUGCACUAGCAGCAAGGCUGCAAAUAAAUCCAUCUUGCAAAUAACCAUUCAAUGAUUUCAAUCAACACAGUUACACAGCAAAUUCACCAACACAUAUUGUCUUAACAACAUAACAAAUUAAAAACCAAAACAAUGUUCAACAAGACAACAAGUGAACAACCAAACUUCCAUCAGUUCCAUGCUGCCAUGCUCAAUGCCAUGCAGCUGCUCCUCUAGUCCUCCGUCUUCAAAUUUUUUUCCCUACACAUUUCAGUUUAAAAAGACAUUGUAUUACACAUUUAUACAUUAUAUAGUUAUACAUUUAUACU